rnacentral:lncRNA from 1 species
ACAAUGAUUUUUCUUUGUUGCUUCUGUUACUGUUGGGCAUGCACCUGAAAGAAGUUAAGGAAAAAAAUUUAUCAGUUUUUGAGUAACAUAAAAACCUAGACUUAAAACUUCCUAGAUAAGAUUUAAUGGUGAUCAAAGCUCCCCGGCAACGGCGCUAAAUUUGAUAUCACUCAAAUUACCUUAAGUGAUUUGUAAUCUCUCAAAUAAAAGGUCGAGUUGUAGUUCUUAGGGAUCGAAUCUAUAAGGAGCUGAGACACACAAAAGAUCUUACACAGUUUAUAAUUAAGCUUGGUCAGUUAUGGAAAUAGCAAAUUGCAGUGGUGAACUUGGCAGUUGUUCGGUUGAUUGGUUUUGAGGUUUUGUAAACAAAUAGCAAAUUGAAGUCGAUCCUCUUCUUUAGGGAUUUAGUAGCUCUUAUAUAGUCGUCUAGGAGUCGGUUCCAUUAGGUUAAACUCUUCCAUAUUCGGAAAUAUGGACGGUUCUCCUUUAUCGGAAGUUUUCCAUUUCUUGGACGGGAGCUUGGUUCCAGGGACCGAACUCAGGGUUCCUUCUAACGGGGACCUGGAGCGUUCCCUUAUCGGGGACCCGAGGGUCUGGGUCCUGCCUGGAGGUCGGAGGAAAUAAUACCGGGAUAUUUUUCCCCAACAAAAGUGUCGAUCGAUAUUCCAAUGGGCGUAUCGUCGCGUUCUAGUCAAGCUUUAUGCGCAAGUUGAAUGAAUGCUUACUAAGCUCACUAGAUCAGCUAUCGCCUUGCUCAUAGCAAGAAACAAAGUUCAAGUAGAAAGUUUUCAGGAUGAGAAUUAGCUAUGGCUUUUAUCAAUCAAUACUAGGGCAAGUUCUAGGUAAGCUAAUCUAGACACAUGCAUUAAUGAACAAUUCUAAAGAUGAUUAUCACAACUCAGCAAUCUAUAGUUGGGGCUAAUCCCUCCUAACCUAUUUAAACCCUAAAAUCUAACAAGAGAACUACUCAGACAUGGCUAAGCAAUUCAUAACAAUAGUUAAGUAUAAAAACUUCAUAGAUAGAUGAAAUAGAUAUCAAUGGAGUUCCAAUCACCAAUUAUAACUUUGGAUCUUCUCUCCUAUCUAUCAAUAAAACAAUGAAACACAAAGAAAGCACACUUUGCCUCAAACAUGGCGGCAAAGCUUAUAUAAUUAGGUUAAAAACUAAUCAGGGGCAAUCUUGUAAAAUAGUGAAAUCUUGGGCUUUAACUCGGCUGUGACCAAACAGGCUUCCUGCGCGCUUCGCUAUCGAUCGACACCAUGACUUGUGUUUCGAUCGAUUCUUUCUCUCCAAUAUCGACUGAUUGUCGAUCUCGAUGGUCAUCUCGGGUGCUUGCUCCAAAUAUCUCCAAAAUGCUCCAAAAUCGUCACUUAUGUCCAAAACAUUCCUGACCUUCAAAGAGGAAGAUGAGCGCAAUGGAGCCAGAUGAGUACGAUGAGGACUACAUAGAAGAAGAGGUUAUUGAGUAUUGUGGUCUUGCCAUGGAUGAAGCAUGAUUUCUCACGAGUUCCCAUAAGACCAUAGGGGAAACAUCGAUCUACGGGAACAACUAUAUAUCGAUCGAUACUCAUCACGAAACAUAGCCACACGCUAGAGCGGAUGAAUCAACAUCGAUCGAUAGGACAGGUCAACCAUCGAUCGAUGGUCGCUUCGAGUUUGGACAUAGAGCUUAUGAUUCUGACUGCAAAAGAUUAUUCCAGUGUGAAAAAGAGUUGGGUACGGCAUAUACAUAGACGAGCAUGGAUAUGCACGAGCGCCUGAUGGAAGAAUCAUUCAUGUGUCUAGGGAAGACAUUAUAGACAUUCUGGAAAGAGAUACAAUGCAUGUACAAACUCGUAUCUGUCUACCAUACCAUGCAGAGAAGUUCACCAGAAUCUUGCCAAGGCUAAGAAGCUACAGAAGAGCAGAUAUUGAUGACAUUGUACACGGGAUCUACAGACCCCAAGAGAUGUCACUGUAUGAUAACUACAAGAGGCUUGAUGAUGUCUACUACCCACUUAACGACAACAUUGACAGGCUGACUACACGCAUGGAUGAGCUGAAAGAGGAGAUGGACGUAAUUCGGAGACAAAAUGAAAUCUGAAGUUGUUAGAGGACAAGCUUGAUGAGAUUAAUUUUUCUCAAUAAUUGAUGUGGGAAGACUUUUCCCAGAGAUUAGAGGACCUUGACGAAACAACUCAGGCCAGACUUGGAAUGCACCAGCACAACAUCAAUAACCUUCAGAAAAGGAUGCAUGUCAAUGAGGUUGAUAAGGAGAUACUGAAAAAUAAGUGGACCAUAGGAGAUGAAUCCAUAAGAAGAUUCAUUGCUACAUGGUUUCAGAUGAGUGAGGAAGAUGUAGACACUUGUUUCCUAAUAAGUAGUCAUCCACCUCCUUACUAGCCAACCUACUUCCAAAGUCAAGCUAAAUGAAUAUAACAAAGCGUUGAGUGGGAGGCAACCCACUAUUAGGUAAUUUUACUUACUUUUAUUCUGGAUCUAUUAUUGAUUUUUGCAUUUAAUUUAUUGCAGGUCAAAAAAAAUAAAAAUAAAAAUAAAAUAUAACCAAAAAAUGAGACCCAAGGAGAAAAUUGUCCAGCCUAUCGACAAAUGAGACCAGGUCGACAUCGAUUGACAAAUCUACACCAGCACCGAUCGAUAGCCACUUAAUUGUGUCGAUCGACAUCAACCAUCAGCGGGAAGGUAUAUCGUUCUACCUUGUUACAUAGUGUACUUAUGAUUUAUUUCUCACCAACCUUCGAACAAAUACACACUGGGACGGUUUAAUUUAAUUCUGGGAGGAGGUUUACUGAUAUCUAAUUUACUUUAUGAGUUUUACAAAAUGUUUUUCAAAAAAGUUUUUAUUGAGUCAAGAAGGGGAUAAUGAACUUUACAAUUUCACUUAUUAUCUAACCACUCUCUAGCACCACUCUUAGAUUUAUUGACUGCAGAAUGUAUUAGAGAUACUAAAGUGGAUCACCUACCAAUUAUCCACACUUGCUGAGAAUGUUUGAAGGAACCAAAACUGAUCUCCAACCUAACUGAGCUUAAUCUGCUUGUAUUGGGGCUUGGUAUACAUUAGAUCGGAUUCCUCCUUCAAGUCUGGAAGGUAAAAGUCUGUAUGGAUCUAGUUUUCCUUUCUCUCCCCUUCAGUUUUAAAAAGGAUUAGAACAUGACUUGGUGGCUACAAUCAUUAAGGCUUGAUUCACAAAAUUCUAAAAAGAGAUAAAUGUCAAAAAGAAGUGAACAGGAUAUGGUGGCUACAACUAUUUGAGUUUGAUUCAUGGAAACCUGUCCAAAUAUCUCAGUCAAUUAAAAAAAUAAAAUGAUACCCUUUAAAAAAGGGAGACAUUGACUGAGGGAAGUGAGAAGAGAGAGAGAGGAAAGGAACUAGAAAAGACUACUUGUGUAUUCAGAAACUUGUUUAAGUAAGAUUUCAUGUGUCUUUUGAUCGAUACACCCAAGGUAAAACCUACACCUUUUAUAUAUGUAUUAAAUGAGAUCAAUAGAGGGGUGAGUCAGACACUAUUAGCUAAAUUGAUGGUUAGAUAGAUUUGGUUGCUAAGCUAGGAUAUGGUAUAUAAGAUACCUCUGAAAUUAGAAUUGAUUUGAUGUGGCUUGCAACAUUGUAGAGGUGAUGAUAUGAGUUUUUAAAUUGUGUGAGUCCCUGCUGUUUUAAAAACCUCAUUUGCAAAGACUACUCUUUGUUUUGCUUGAGGACAAGCAAAAUGGUAAGUCUAGGGUGUGAUAUACUAUGGAUUUUACCCAUAUUUAGCCAUGGUAUUUAGGUGUGAUAUACCAUGGAUUUUACCCAUAUUUUACCGAUAUUUAACCCUAUAUGUGUAUCGAUUGACGUUCUGAAAGGUGUAUCAAUCGACUAUCCAUCGAUAGUAUCGAUCGACAUUUUCCCCAUGGCAACAAACGACAAUUGAGAUCUGGGAUCCAGACAAUAUAUAUUCUAAACAAACGAAGUUGAUAGAAUAUUACUUAGUUUGAGUUCUAGAAUAUCCAGUAUACAACCUUAUCUUCUAUGCUAUUAUAAUUCUGAUUACAUGAAUAGAAAUCCUAAGUCUAACGCUUUCUCAUAUUAUUUACAAAACCUCAAAACCAACCGAACAACUGUCUUGUUCACCACUGCUUGAAAUUUUACCAUUUCUAUAAUUUACCUAGCUUAAUCAUAAACUGUUUAAGAUCUUUUGUGUCCCCCAGAUCCUUUUGAAUUUGAUCCCUAAGUACUACAACUCGACCUCUUAUUUGAAAGAGUAAAAAUCACUCCUUAAGGUAAUUUGAGUGAUAUCACUUCAACUAGAACCAAACCAUUGCCAAAAGGAGGUUGCACUCGACUUAUGGCAACGUUCAUUGGAUCUUUAUCAAACUCAACUAGAACCAAACCAACUUUAUAUGUGGUAUUUAUUGAUUCAGAACAUGAAGGUUGGAACUUAGCAUUUUCCUUUGGACUCACAGCUCCUAGAGCGACAUGUGUUUCAUCGAGUAGAAUGAGUAUUCUUUGAAUCCAUAGGUUUUUUAAUUGUUGUAGUUCUAGGGAAAUGAGCGCACUUCCGGGGGUAACCAAGGAUAGGAGACUGAUAUUUCCGUUUCAUGACCAUUAAAAUUCUUAGAUGAUUAUGCUUGGCAACUCAGAGAGGAGAUUGACUCUUACCCAAAGUUUUGUAAGUUCAAAUUUUUCUUUACGCCCGGUCUACUGAGACUCUCUCUCUACUGAACAAUACAUAAGGUACCCGCGAAGUUUGACCAGGCCUAUUGUAGUGGUGAGCUGAGGAUCUUCAUAAGAGAAGUUCGAUGACCAAGGAGCGAUGAACAUAGGACUCCCAGGCUGGGGCGGAUCUACUUAAGGUAAGUAUGGGGCAGUUGCCCCCCCAUGAAAUUUAAAACUUUCCAUUAAAUGAUAAUUAUAUAUUUCAGUUGCCCCGUUCAAAAAUACUUUCUGACACCCUAACAAAAUCUAUUCUCAAAGCUCAUUUCAAAAUAUCUAUUAUUUUCAUUUUUUUACAAGGUCAUUUAUUAUAUUUCUUUUAGCAUUAUUAUGUUUCCAUAUUUGAUUUGCGAACAUUAAAUCAGUGUUUCCGUUUUAUAUAAAUAAAAUCAAUUUAUUUUUUGAACUUAAUAAAAUCAACUUGUUGCUAAUAAGUAUUUUUAUAACAGAAAAUAAAUAUCUAUUUAUUUAAUAUGUUAUAAUAACUAGUUUUCUUUACUUUAUCGUAAUACAUGCAAUGACAAUAAAAAAAUAUUAUUUUUAUUUUACUUUUUCAUAUAUAAUUAUUAAUCCAUACUAUGAAUGAGAAAAAAAACAAUAUUUUAGAAGAAAAAAUUGUAUGAUCUUAAAAUAUGUACUUGUAUUUGUCAUGUCAUGAAAAACCUGUCUUUUUCUAUUUAUAAUUUCCGUUUUAUUUUAUUUUUUUAUAUAAGAUUUUUUCCCUACAAUGGAUCUGUAUAAUACACUUAUAAAGUUGAUAGAAAAUAUUUCUAUAGAAUAUAUAAUGCAAAUGUUAUUAAUGAUUAUUAAUUGUUUGCCCCGGGUGAACUUCUCGGCUAGAUCCGCCACUGAUUACCCAGCUAUCAUCCAUGUUGGUCUACUGAGUAUAACCUCUCUUGUUCUCACAUUUGAGACCUUUAAAAGAGAGCAACCAUUACCAAUUUCAUGAACAAAUAUCAUGGAACCUAAGCAACCCCAAAUAGCAUUUACAGCUCAAAUGAUUCUUCCUUUGGGAGGAACAUCGCCACUGAAUCGGGCAAACAAAAACUCCUUGAACUCUUCUUUCGCUUCAGCAAUGUUUUCAUCCAGAAUGAGGACAAAGGGAGCAAAUGAAAUGUGCUGAGAAGGAGUGUUAAGCUCUUCUAACUGCGCAUAGCGUUGGAUGAUGCUUGCAAGCUAACUCGUAGAUGAAGACCGUGGGGUCUCCAUGUUAAUUAAUUUUAUGAUUUCAGUUAUGAAAUCUACACCCAAGACCAUAUUCUAGUUUAGAUUAAUUCAACCCUAAUACUUUCGAGAGAAGAAAGAAGAAACACUAACCUUAAUUCAUUCGUAUUUGGAUCAAUCCUCAUGUUGAUCUUCUCCCCUUUAACCUUCUCUUUAGUGAUUUCUUUGAUGGACAAGAAAUCCUAAUCCUUUCACUCAUUCUCUUAACCAAUGAUAUUAUUGUGGUGUCUUUCUAAGAGAAGUAACUCUCUCUUUCUUACUCACGUAAGACCAGAAGAAGUGUGGCCAAAUAUAUAUUUAUUGUCUUGGUAACUCUUCGGUGAAGAGACAUCACACUUCAUACCCUCUUGUCUUAACCACUACUAUUAAUAUUUAUAUAUAUGAUUAUAGAGAAAUGACAUUUAUAAUUAAGGUAAAGUAGGAGGGUUAUCAAUACACCCAUAUUCUAAUUCUUUUAUCGAAACCGAUCCAUCACAGUAUCGUCUUUUAUAUUAGAAUAUAAAAUUUUAAUAUGAACUUGAACUUUGUAUUAAACCAAUAGACACAUAGGUCAUAUAGAAUAUAAAAUAUUCUUACAUUCUCCCACUUGACCUUUGUGUUGUCUUAAGGGUUUAAUAACUAUAAUGUGCACUUUUACUUCAAGUUAACUUUGAUCUUUACUAAAAUUAGAAAUGAUCGGAUCAUGGCGGUUGUAUGUCAUUUAGCCGGCAAAGUCCCUUCCAUGUAUCAAAAAUCAAUUCUAACUUUAUAUUAUCCUUACAUGAGAAUAAUUUAUAUUCUCAAAACUUUACUAUAUGUUAUCGUUGAACCAUAAAUGUGUACACAUACUUUAAUGAUAACAUAUCUAAUAAAUCAGAAACUUAACUUUAAGUGAAUUCCUAGGUGUCAAAUACUUAAUGAGCAUUCCAUAAAUAUAAUAGCAAGACUUUAUCUAUAAUAUCCAUACGCUCUAAACGGCCGUUGAACGCCUUGGGUGGUAAACCUUUAGUUUGCGGAUCCGCUAUCAUUAUAUCCUUUCUUAUGUGCUCAAAUGACACUCUAUGUUUCUGAACUUCUUCUUUAAUAGACAAGUACUCUAACUUAAUGUGCUUAGCACCCUUCCAACACUUGUCAUCCUUUCAAAAGAAGACAACUGCGAAAUUAUCACCAUAAUCUCUCAGCGGUUUGGCGUUAGUGUCGACAAUCCAAAGCCCUGAGAUAAAUUUCUGCAGGCUCCAUACAUGAAUUGUGGCUUCAAAGCAUACCACAAUUCAACCUUAAUAGUGGAAGUAGCAAUGACAGACUACUUUCCACUUUCCUUUAAAUUGUUCCCACAAAUAAUAGAACAAUACCUAAACGUUGAUUUUUACCAUCAACGCAUCCGACUUUAUUUGAAUCUGAAAAUCCUAUGACCUUUAAUUGAUUGGAUCUCUUUUAUGUAAGCAUGUUCUCGUUUGUGCCUUGCAAGUACCAGAGGACUUUUCUUUGCAGCGUUCCAGUGGUUCAUUCUGGGAUUACUUUCAUAUCGGCCCAAGUUUCCAAUAUCAAAACUGAUAUCAAGCUGAAUACAUUCAAACUCCCAACCACUAAUGUCUAAGGAAAUCUUUUUAUUUCUUUACGCUCCUAUUCAUUUUUAAGACAUUAAAUUUUACUAAACGUAUUUCCCUUUUGAAUUGGAGCUAUUCCUACGGAGCAUUUUUCUAUUUUAUAUAUCUCUAAGAUCUUACUGAUAUGUCCUUUCUGAGACAAACUCAACAAUCCUUGUGAUCUAUCUCGAAAAUAUUUCUAUUUCAAUUACGUAAGACGUCUCACCCAUAUCUUUCAUUUCAAAGUUCUUAGAGAGAUACUACUUUACAUCAUGUAACAUGCCUUUGUUAUUUUCAGCAAGCAUAAUUACAUCAACAUAUAAGACUAACAUCAAUAAUAAGCUCCCACUGAUCUUAAUGUAGAUACAUUGAUCUACGAUGAGCUCUACAAAACCAUACGUCGUGAUGAUAUCAUUAAACUUCAAAUACCAUUGCCGGAAGCUUGUUUUAGUCCAUAUAUUGACUUUCUCAGCUUACACACCAUAUUUUCUUUUCACGCGGCCAUGAAAAUUUCAUGUUGGUCAUAUAUACUACUUCCUCAAGCUCUACUUUCAGAAAGGCGGUCAAAUAUCUAUCUAGUGAAACUCAAGAUCAUAAUGAGCCACCUAAGCCAAAACAAUUCUAAGAGAAUCCUUAUUUUAAACUGUAGAGAAGAUCUCAUUAUAGUUAAUGCCAUCUUUUCUGGGUGAAACUUUUAGCAACAAGGCGAGCCUUAUAUCUUUCAAUAUUACCUUUCGAGUUAUGUUUAGUCUUAAAGAUCCAUUUACAAUCAACGGUUUUGAAAUCAUUAGGAAACUCUACUAAGUACCAAACUCUAUCACCCUUAUAUCUUAUCUAUUUGCGGCAUUAAGACUUUUCCAGAAUUGUCACUUUCCAUGGCUUUUUGAAUGAGAUCAGGUCUUCAUAAAUCUUUAAGGCACAUUCACUUUCAAUAGCAGCCACAGUUAUUUGAUAUGGCAGAUCUGCUUUUCCUUUCAGAUCGCUUUUAAAAUUACUUAUGGUUCACUAUUCUUUCCUUGAAUUGCAACAUGAUCAUUGACUAUAUAUUUUAGCUAGUGGUAUCGGUGCACCCUUAUGUUGUUCUAUUGUGUAGAAACAACUACCUCAGAUGCAACUUCAGGUGAAGGAACUUCAACCCCAAAUCAUUAAUGUCCACCCUUCGUAGUUCACUACUCCCACUAGUUUCACCAUUCUCAAUGAACGUAGCAUUACCCGAUUCAACUAAUAUCGUACUAUGGUUAGAACAAUAAAAUUUCUUCUCCUUUGAUUCUUUCAGGAUAGCCAUAUGGCAGUCAUAUGAUCAAGUUUCUUUUCAUGUGGGAUAUAUAGCUUUAUUUAUGAUGAGCAACCCGUUACACGUAAAUACUUCAAACUAGGUUUCCUUCCGUUCACAGUUCAUAAGGGAUCUUAGGAACUGUCUAACUAGAAACCUGGUUCAGCACAUACGUUGCAAUUUUAAUGCAUAUAUCCACAAAGAAAGAGGUAAAGAGAAAUUACAUAACAUGCUUCUAACCAUCUCUAUUAUAGUACGAUUCCACCUCUCUACUACACCAUUCUUCUAGGAGUAUUAAGCAUACUGUAUUGUGCACAAUGCCUCUACUUUGAAGUAACUUUCCAUAGAGCUCACCUCCUCUAUCAGAUCUCACUACUUUUACUAAUCUAGCCGUCUUUCCAUCUUAUCAGUGAACACCUUUAGCACAUCCACAAACUUAGACCUUUCAUGCAGUAGAUAAGUAUAUACAUACUAUGAGUAAUCAUCAAUAAAGGUGAUGAGGUCCUUUUCACCGCUUCAUGAAGGAGCAUCGAAAGGGACACAUAUAUCGGUGUGUAUUAACCUAAGAAACUGAGUGCUUCUUGUGGCUGGUUUCUUUACAGUAUGUUUAGUCUGCUUUCCUUUAAUGCAGUCUAUACAUACAUGUAGGUCAUUAAAAUCCAAUUGAGGAGGAAUUUCACCCUUCACCAACCUCAUUCUUCCUUUGGAAAUGUGACCUAGUCUUUGAUGCCACAAGAAACCGAUCUUUCAUUAGAUGUGCUAUGAUUAGUGCCUCUAAUUUCAACCACCAAGUAUUACUAGAAAUUUCAAUAAGACUCCUUUCAUAGCAAACAAGACUUUAAUGUUUACUUUGUUAUCGAAACAACCCUUUCUUUUAGGACAAUCCAACUUGAAGAGUCUCGUUUUAUUGCAAAAGAAACAUUCCAUUUCCUAAGGUCUUUAACUUUACAGCCAGAUUAGACAUGUGAGUCACAUGAUCACGGAUUGGAUGGGACCAGUCAAACAUUUUCAUAGUUAGCUCAUUUAUGAGACUUCCUACAUCUGACUUACAACCAAAUCCGACUAUGAGCACUACUUAAAUAUACUCUAUAAAUUCCUUCUUAUUUUCUGUCUUAGACAUCGAUGACUUAACCCUUUCUACCGUCAUCAACCUCAUUACGUUCAAACUCAGCCUAUUAGAUUGAUCUUAUCUCUUACACAUAUUUUUGUUUUAAAAAAAAAAUAUAUAUAUAUAUUAUGAGCUAUCUUCCAUAAUGGCUGAGGGCCCCACAUCAAUUACUAUGGCGAAAUCUAAUGUCAUCACACCCAGUGUGAACCAGAUCUUUUCAGACUACUCGCGAAAUUGAGACCAUUGAACUUUUCGACAGAGUUUGAAAAUGAAAAUACAUUUGCUGAAGCUGCAAGCUUUAAUACAUGCUUACCCUUUACUACUUUGAAACUUUACUUCAGAUUCUAAACUUGGUAUAAACUUUCGCGUUUGUAUUUAAGCAACCUUUGGGCAAUACUUAAACACAAACACUUUCAGUGACGCCAAAAUACACUUUAAUAACUAAUCAUUUAAAACUCAAGUCAAAUGGUAUAUUACCUUUGGGUAUAUAUACUACCGACUAUAGUAAAAAAUGACUAGUUCUUUUCAUAUUAUUAACUAUAUUCAAUGAUCCACCUUUGGAUGAUCUCCAAAAAUAUAGAAAAUAAAAUAAUUGAUCACUAAAACUUUAAUGUCAUUUAGCGUCUUUUUUUUUUAUCAUGAUCAAUCAUACUACUAUUAAUUUUAAUAUUUGUAAGUAAAUAACAAGAUCACUUUGGUGACAAACAUGUCAUAAACUAUACGAACAUUAAAAGAUUAAUAGGGAAAUUUCUCCUAAUAUUAUGUUAUAUUUUAUAACAUAAUUUCUAUAUUGUGUUAAUAUUUUAUAACACAAGUUACCUAUUAAUAAAAUGCAGCGAAAGCAUUUUUUUAAAAUUACAACUUUUAUAUAUACAAUAUUUUAAAUUAAUAAAAUAUUAUAUAGCUUAUUUGUGUCCCUGAAACUGUAUGGAACACUUGUUCAUUUUCAUACAUUUGUGUAGUAACCGUUAACACGUCCAGAAUUUUAAACCAUAAUGAAUCAAUUAUUUCACUCAAACUUAUGUAUUCAUUGACAUUCAUGAAUCCACACAACCAGCAAUUUAUGUUGCCGUAACUAAUUAAGUAAAAUAAUUAAUUCUAAUCAAUCCUUUUGUAACGGCACUACACAAAAUCCCUUAAUCAUGCAUGUAACUUAUAUUUGUUAUCGUGAAACCCAGAUUUCACGUUGACACUAUUAAACAAAUACUCCUUAUCAUCGCAAAGUUGCAAACUUAAUGGUGACUCUUUCAUAUUACGACAAUAACCGCAGUAACAACAUUAUUUUCUUUCUUUUAUGGCAGUUGUCGCUCUCAAAUCUUUAAACCAGUGUCAUGUUCUUAAUUAAAAAAAAAAUCACUUAUAUCAUGGCAGCGACAACGCACAAUUGAUCCUUUAUCAAUUUCGACAUGCCACUAUGAACAGUUCUAGUGAUUGAUCUUUUAUCAUAAAUGUACGGUUAUGAAUCGUACGAUUACUUAAUUAUACUUUUUCAACCCACUAUCAUUUCUGCUAUGCAUUCUCUUAGUGAUACUAUUACGCCCUUAAUGAUACGAAACAUAGUACCAUCCCUUUUUAGAACGUCACUUAUUUAAGAAAAGGUCAGUGGCUUGAUCCAUAUAAUUAAGCACUCGUUCUCAAACAUGAUCCAAUGUACUUAAACCGAUACAUAUGUUUACCAUGCCGUACGAUAUACGAGAACUUACGUUACUAUUACAUGGAUCAUGAACACUCUUUAAAAUGGAUUAACCCAUGUAUGUUCAUGAACCCAUGAGAACUAAUUACAGUGAAUUAAUUAAAUCUAGAUUGGCUCUGAUACCACAUGUUAAUUAAUUUUAUGAUUUCAGUUAUGAAAUCUACACCCAAGACCAUAUUCUAGUUUAGAUUAAUUCAACCCUAAUACUUUCGAGAGAAGAAAGAAGAAACACUAACCUUAAUUCAUUCGUAUUUGGAUCAAUCCUCAUGUUGAUCUUCUCCCCUUUAACCUUCUCUUUAGUGAUUUCUUUGAUGGACAAGAAAUCCUAAUCCUUUCACUCAUUCUCUUAACCAAUGAUAUUAUUGUGGUGUCUUUCUAAGAGAAGUAACUCUCUCUUUCUUACUCACGUAAGAACAGAAGAAGUGUGGCCAAAUAUAUAUUUAUUGUCUUGGUAACUAUUCGGUGAAGAAACAUCACACUUCAUACCCUCUUGUCUUAACCACUACUAUUAAUAUUUAUAUAUAUGAUUAUAGAGAAAUGACAUUUAUUAUUAAGGUAAAUUAAGUAGGAGGGUUAUCAAUACACCCAUAUUCUAAUUCUUUUAUCGAAACCGAUCCAUCACAGUAUCGUCUUUUAUAUUAGAAUAUAAAAUUUUAAUAUGAACUUGAACUUUGUACUAAACCAAUAGACACAUAGGUCAUAUAGAAUAUAAAAUAUUCUUACACUCCAUAGACUGAGCAGGCAGUGCUCGCAUGCCUUGGAGUUGUCCAGAGGCCUGAUGUCAGUUUGCUCAACCGGGCUGGAUGAUGAAAACUUCAACGACUUUAAGUGGCGGAGAGGGAAUAUACAUCGUGACUGGAGAAAGUGAGGCAGAGGAAUGUAGAGCCUAGAUUGGGUGUGAAGUCGGAUUUGAAGUUAAGGCCGCCAGAUCUGCAAUAGGAGCUUAAGAGGAAGGUUUAUGGCUACUACUUGCAGGAACCAAUAGAGGAACAAUGGGAGUGGAAUCUUUUGAAUGAAUACCAUCAAUUGUAAAACGUGAAUCGAAGAUGAAGGCUUGAAGAAGUCCACGCCUAGUUUUUUUCCUUCUCUUAACCUUGUCCAUCGAGAAAAAAAGAUAAGCAAGUAGAGAAGAGAGAAGGAAGAGUUCUCAUCUGAUGAAAAAGAAAGGAAGAACCCUGAUCGCUUUCAGCUACGAGAAAGAGGAAAGAGAAAGCUGGUAAAGAAGUGGAUUUUAUCAACAAGGAGAUCAUUUAGUCACUCAGGCUUACCAUACAUGUAAUUAUUUUCACCACG